UUCUCUGUUUUAUGGCAUCUAAGCCCUUUGUUCUCCGAGGCCUUCUGCUUUAAAAGCCCACGUGUCCACGCCGUUUAAUGGAACGUGAUGGGAAACAGCUGAUGGAUUUUGCAGAUGCUCUACGGCAAUGACGCUGCACGACUGCGGUCAGUGAAGACGAUCCCUCCCGAGGUUACGCGAUCGAUGUGAGCCUGUGGACACUCAGAUACUCCUGGGUCAGGAGUUGGUAAGGAGGGGGAAAGUAUUUGCUAAGUGAACCUGCAAGAAAUCCGGCCUCCUUCUCCUCUGGGACGGAAAAUCGGACCGGACCACAAAUGACCUGCUGCAGAUGGAUCACCAGCAGAAGGUUCUGACAAGAGAAGAGCACAAAUGUCAGCGGCAUUUCUUUGAAGAUUUUUGUUUUGGACAAUGCUGGAGGAGCAGCUGGAGAACCACAGGGAGGCUCAUCAGAAGCACUUCGGUGGACUCAGUGGAGACGAGAUCUAAGACAAGCAGAGGAUGCUGCAGGAACUCUUUACUUUUAUCAUUGAAUUAUUAUAGUGAAUGAAGUAUGAUGAAGUAUAGAAUGGCCUAUUAAAAUCUGAAAAAUAUGAAGAGUAGGGUAAAUCAGGUAAUUUGGAACAGCAUGAGGAAAAAGCAUCUUACUUCUCCUGUGUGCUGUCACCUACGUUAUGUCAUGUGACUUUAGUCCUAAGCAAUGUAUCAGCACCCCUAACUUUACCAGAGCCUUUUCAAGGCAGAAGUAAAAUGCUUUUUCCUUAUGCUGUCCCAAAUUACCUGAUGUCCCAAUAUACCUGCAUUCAUCCUAUGGAAGGAAGUUAUCAUUUUUUUGAUCUAAUUUGUCAUAACAAAUAUCAUUGUAAAUAUAGUAUGUCAAGAGAAAUUUCACAAUUUAAAAAGCCAGACAGAUGGUAGCAGAAGUGUCAUUGAAUAGUAUCAACAAAAUACGUGUCGUAUGCCACAGUAAAAUAACAUAAUGUAUGUUGUUAUAAAAUCUCAGUGAGCAAGAAGAUUUUAACUAAAAAAUAUCAUAUUGUAGUAUGCAAUGAAGGGUUUUAUUAAAAGCAAAAAUAUUGUAUAACAGACAGAUUGUAGAGUAAAUGGUUAAUGACAGGAUGUAUUAUUGCAAUAACAAAUAAAUGUCAGUAGUAUAGUGUAAUAUUACAUUUCAAUAAUAUAAUCAUUGUUUAGAAGGCCAUAAAAAUGUGAUAAUGGAUAUGAAAGAUAAUCCGUCAAAAUCACACUGCACAGUAUCUGUGUCUCUAAAGUUUAAUUGUAACAAAACAAGUCAAAGUAUGGUGUGUGUAUAUAUAUAAA